CUAAUGAUAAAUCAAUCAAAACUUUCAACAACGGAUCUCUUGGUUCUGGCAUCGAUGAAGAACGCAGCGAAAUGCGAUAAGUAAUGUGAAUUGCAGAAUUCAGUGAAUCAUCGAAUCUUUGAACGCACAUUGCGCCCCUUGGUAUUCCGAGGGGCAUGCCUGUUCGAGCGUCAUUU
rnacentral:rRNA from 1 species